AGCGGCAAACGGGUGAGUAACACGUAAGCAAUCUUCCUUCAAGUCCGGAAUAACCCUGCCAACGCGGGGCUAAUACCGAAUGUGGUCCGCGCAUGCAAAGGUGCACUUGGAGAUGAGCUUGCGGCCCAUUAGCUUGUUGGCGGGGUAACGGCCCACCAAGGCUGUGAUGGGUAUCCGGCCUGAGAGGGUGUACGGACACAUUGGGACUGAGAAACGGCCCAGACUCCUUCGGGAGGCAGCAGUAGGGAAUUUUGCGCAAUGGACGAAAGUCUGACGCAGCAACGCCGCGUGAGUGAUGAAGGUCUUCGGAUUGUAAAACUCUGUUGAGUGGGAAGAAUGACGGUACCGCUCGAGGAAGCACCGGCUAACUACGUGCCAGCAGCCGCGGUAAUACGUAGGGUGCAAGCGUUGUUCGGAAUCACUGGGCGUAAAGGGAGCGUAGGCGGAGCCGUAAGUCGGAAGUUUAAUACCCAGGCUUAACCUG
rnacentral:rRNA from 1 species